UGUUUAAGUUUGGAACGACUUCUGAAGUUUUUUGCUGCAUUAAGAAUCUCGCAUACAUAAAGAAUUCGGGUAUAAAGUCGUUACGAUUUUGUGCAGGAUAGGAUCUUCAUCUUAAUCCAUUAAUUUGGCUAAAAUAACUCUGUCGAUUUGGGUUGGUCUAAUUUUAUUCACUAAUCACACCAGCAGGUGUACAUGUAGCAAGCCACGUUUCCGCCAUGCUAUUGUGAACAUAUGGCAGACCGAAUACAUGAGACUUGUUAAUGAGGUGCAGGAAUUUCUGUACUUUUAAAUGGAAGACUAUGUUAACUAUAUCGUCUCCGUCUUAUGAAGUUAAAUUGGUGUUAAAUUUUUUUUAUUUCCGGCCAAUUUGGAUUACAUGGUGAAGAUAUUAAUAAAUCAGGGCCCGGCAGUCGUAAGCGAGCAAGUAAUCGUAUCGAGUGAAAUUUCGUAACGUGUCGAGUGUGCGGAUCGUCGCACUCGAUACGAAACGAAUAGAAAUUUUAUGAAAUAACUACCUUGGCAUAGCUCUAAAUGGCAUUUUCAAAUAACAUGAAAUACAAAAUAAAAGGAAAAAGCAAUAAAAUGAACCCUAGUGUUUUUUUUACAAGUUACUCUGAUUCAGAUGAGAAACAUCACCAAAUGGCCGUAAGGUCCAGGAUUCGUGAUAAAAGUAAUCCUAUGGCUUUACCUGAUGCAGCGAAGCGGUUUAGACUGACCAAAGACGCAUUUACUAUCA